AUUGAACGCCGGCGGCAGGCUUAACACAUGCAAGUCGAGCGGGGGAAGGUAGCUUGCUACCGGACCUAGCGGCGGACGGGUGAGUAAUGCUUAGGAAUCUGCCUAUUAGUGGGGGACAACAUCUCGAAAGGGAUGCUAAUACCGCAUACGUCCUACGGGAGAAAGCAGGGGAUCUUCGGACCUUGCGCUAAUAGAUGAGCCUAAGUCGGAUUAGCUAGUUGGUGGGGUAAAGGCCUACCAAGGCGACGAUCUGUAGCGGGUCUGAGAGGAUGAUCCGCGACACUGGGACUGAGACACGGCCCAGACUCCUACGGGAGGCAGCAGUGGGGAAUAUUGGAAAAUGGGGGGAACCCUGAUCCAGCCAUGCCGCGUGUGUGAAGAAGGCCUUAUGGUUGUAAAGCACUUUAAGCGAGGAGGAGGCUCUUUUGGUUAAUACCCAAGAUGAGUGGACGUUACUCGCAGAAUAAGCACCGGCUAACUCUGUGCCAGCCGCCGCCGUAA
rnacentral:rRNA from 1 species